GCUGUUGUUGUCCCUGUUGCACCUCCAAUAUCCUCCUCAUAUCUUUCCUCGCAGCCACUUGUUGUUGAACCAGUACUUGCAUUAACUGAGCUGCAGUAAUUUGUUCCCCAAGUUGAAUUUCAGGUUCUCCUAGAGUUUCUUCCCCGGGAGUGACCUCUGCAGGCUCCGUAGGAUGUUCUUGUUGUGGUGCAUCAUCAUCCGAUGAGGGUGGAGCAUUUUCUUGUGGUGUAGCUGGCUCCCAAGCAUUAGAGCCAUCCGCAAAAUGAGUAGGUCUCCGAUUUCGCCCACGCUCAGUCCCUCUUGCCAUGUCAACCUACACAGUUUUACUUUAGUCAAGAAUUUAAGAAUAAUAUUUCAUAUUAGUCAAUUUCCAUCUAAAAGUCUACCCAUAUACUCUCUCUCUGAAAUAAACCUUAGGAUUCCUAAACCUAAGCUCUGAUACCACUCUGUCACGCCCCAACCC
rnacentral:lncRNA from 1 species